CUUCUCUCUAAAAGAUCCAAACACUGAACCGUUUAAAUUUUAAUUUGAAGGUGCCUAAGCGAUCGCGGUGGCAAGAGCUUCAUUUUGAACCGAACAAUUUCCUGUUCCGACCGGUUCUGUCAAGUUCCGCUCUAUUUGGAGGGUACUGUUAGGACAUCUAUUGUGAAUUGUAUUGAGCAACCCAAAAGAAGAAGAUGUCGAGGAGGAUACUUUGGAAACAGCUCUUGAUGGAGACGGCAGUGCUGCAGCUUAGAUUUGCUAGCUUUUAUUUCCAUGAACUCAUCAUUUUAAAGAACUUUAGUGCAUUUAAAGUUUUAAAUUCUCUGUAAUUUCCAGGGAGAAACUCUAAUACUCUAGUUUUCAAUUUCACACUAUUCUAAGGAUGACUGUAAUCCUAAUUACUCUUGACUGCUUUCCUAUAUUAUGCAUGAUAACGUCUUUAUUAUA